rnacentral:lncRNA from 1 species
AUUUGUUGAUCUUUCAGGUCUCUUCCACUGAGUUUAUGGUUCCAUGAAUCAUUCCUCGGACACAGGCCAAGUCAGUGAUGAAGUGGUCUGGGGAGUCGUGGGGUCAGAGUUGAAAUGGAGAUGUAGUGAGGGGUGAGAACCGGGGUUCCGAGGGAGGAGAUGCUAAAUGACAGCACAGUGUCAGGAAAUAAGUUUUUUCCCUUGCAAAACUUGGUAAUCAGACGGGAUAUCGGAGAAGUGCACUGGUAGAGAGAAGCAUUAGCCAGUUAGAGAAUGGCAGGGGGGUGGUGGCCUGGUCAAGGGGGAGGACAAGUCCAGGGGUGUUGUGGAUGAAGAAGAUGGCUGCAAUCUCACCCUCCAUUGCUCCCAAAGGAAGGACAAUGCCAUUGUCUUCUGAGUUCAUCUGCAAACACAAAAAAGAACAACUACUGCCUUGGAUACUACAUUGUAAUGUAAAACCUGCGCGAUUUUCUGAGUGGAAACAAAGGAUUGGGAAGCACAAACACAGGAGCUGGCUAGGAAUCAGUGGAGUUGUUUUCCCCUCUCAGCUGUACGGUCAGAUUGUGAGGAUCCCCGAACGUGCCUCAGGCACAGGCAAAUGCUCCAGAGACUCGUCCCUACCACUUGGCCACUGACCAAAUACAUGUGAGUCUCACUUAGACCCGAGCUCUCAGCUUGGUGACAUGUUCUCAAGUGCACAGUGAACUACUUGUAACCGUGUUUAGAGAAAACCACUUCACUGUGGUAACAGUGAUCUAAAAACUUCUCCAUGUGAGUGAAAUGAUGCCAUCAUAGGGGCAGAGAAAUGAAAGGAGGGAAACUAUUUCUGAAACUCAGGAUGAUGAAGCCAUGAUGAACAGUGGACACUCCUA